UCCGAGUUGACCCCGGCAGUCUCUCACGAGUCCCCACCAUAACGUGCUGGCAACAUGAGACAAGGGUUGCGCUCGUUGCGGGACUUAACCCAACAUCUCACGACACGAGCUGACGUCAGCCAUGCAGCACCUGUGUCCACGCCCCUUGCGGGGAGGAAUCCAUCUCUGGAAGCCGUCGUGGCAUGUCAAGGGCUGGUAAGGUUCUUCGCGUUGCGUCGAAUUAAGCCACAUGCUCCGCUGCUUGUGCGGGCCCCCGUCAAUUCCUUUGAGUUUUAGCCUUGCGGCCGUACUCCCCAGGCGGGGAACUUAAUGCGCUAGCUGCGGCACCGACGACGUGGAAUGUCGCCAACACCUAGUUCCCACCGUUUACGGCGUGGACUAC
rnacentral:misc_RNA from 1 species